rnacentral:rRNA from 1 species
GUAGGUGGCAAGCGUUGUCCGGAAUUAUUGGGGCGUAAAGCGCGCGCAGGGCGGGUCCUUUAAGUCUGAUGUGAAAAGCCCACGGCUCAACCGUGGAGGGUCAUUGGAAACUGGGGGACUUGAGUACAGAAGAGGAAAGCGGAAUUCCAAGUGUAGCGGUGAAAUGCGUAGAGAUUUGGAGGAACACCAGUGGCGAAGGCGGCUUUCUGGUCUGUAACUGACGCUGAGGCGCGAAAGCGUGGGGAGCAAACAGGAUUAGAUACCCUGGUAGUCCACGCCGUAAACGAUGAGUGCUAAGUGUUAGGGGGUUUCCGCCCCUUAGUGCUGCAGCUAACGCAUUAAGCACUCCGCCUGGGGAGUACGGCCGCAAGGCUG